GGACCCGCACAAGCGGUGGAGCAUGUGGUUUAAUUCGAUGCAACGCGAAAAAACCUUACCUACUCUUGACAUACUUGGAAGCUCUUGUAAUGAGAGUGUGCCUUUUGGAGCCAAGAUACAGGUGCUGCAUGGCUGUCGUCAGCUCGUGUCGUGAGAUGUUCCGUUAAGUCGGAUAACGAGCGCAACCCUUACCCUUAUUUGCCAGCGAUUCGGUCGGGAACUAUAAGGGGACUGCCGGUGAUAAACCGGAGGAAGGUGAGGACGACGUCAAGUCAUCAUGGCCCUUACGAGUAGGGCUACACACGUGCUACAAUGGGGAAUACAGACGGAGCUAAAGCCGGCGAGGUG
rnacentral:rRNA from 1 species